AACGAACGCUGGCGGCAUGCCUAACACAUGCAAGUCGAACGAGACCUUCGGGUCUAGUGGCGCACGGGUGCGUAACGCGUGGGAACCUGCCCUUAGGUUCGGAAUAACUCCCCGAAAGGGGUGCUAAUACCGGAUAAUGUCUUCGGACCAAAGAUUUAUCGCCUUUGGAUGGGCCCGCGUUGGAUUAGCUAGUUGGUAGGGUAAAAGCCUACCACGGCGACGAUCCAUAGCUGGUCUGAGAGGAUGAGCAGCCACACUGGGACUGAGACACGGCCCAGACUCCUACGGGAGGCAGCAGUGGGGAAUAUUGGACAAUGGGCGAAGGCCUGAUCCAGCAAGGCCGCGUGAGUGAUGAAGGCCUUAGGGUUGUAAAGCUCUUUUACCCGGGAUGAUAAUGACAGUACCGGGAGAAUAAGCGCCGGCUAACUCCGUG
rnacentral:rRNA from 1 species